rnacentral:rRNA from 1 species
GCGGGCGUAGCAAUACGUCAGCGGCAGACGGGUGAGUAACGCGUGGGAACGUACCUUUUGGUUCGGAACAACACAGGGAAACUUGUGCUAAUACCGGAUAAGCCCUUACGGGGAAAGAUUUAUCGCCGAAAGAUCGGCCCGCGUCUGAUUAGCUAGUUGGUGGGGUAACGGCUCACCAAGGCGACGAUCAGUAGCUGGUCUGAGAGGAUGAUCAGCCACAUUGGGACUGAGACACGGCCCAAACUCCUACGGGAGGCAGCAGUGGGGAAUAUUGGACAAUGGGCGCAAGCCUGAUCCAGCCAUGCCGCGUGAGUGAUGAAGGCCCUAGGG